AUACGUAGGGGGCGAGCGUUGUCCGGAAUGAUUGGGCGUAAAGGGCGCGUAGGCGGCCCGGUAAGUCUGGAGUGAAAGUCCUGCUUUUAAGGUGGGAAUUGCUUUGGAUACUGUCGGGCUUGAGUGCAGGAGAGGUAAGUGGGAUUCCCAGUGUAGCGGUGAAAUGCGUAGAGAUUGGGAGGAACACCAGUGGCGAAGGCGACUUACUGGACUGUAACUGACGCUGAGGCGCGAAAGUGUGGGGAGCAAACAGGAUUAGAUACCCUGGUAGUCCACACUGUAAACGAUGAAUGCUAGGUGUAGGGGGUAUCGACCCCUUCUGUGCCGCAGUUAACACGAUAAGCAUUCCGCCUGGGGAGUACGGCCGCAAGGUUGAAACUCAAAUGAAUUGGCGGGG
rnacentral:rRNA from 1 species